rnacentral:rRNA from 1 species
UACAGAGACCUCGAGCGUUACCCGGAUUUAUUGGGCGUAAAGGGUCCGUAGGUGGUUUGGUAAGUUUUGGGUUAAAACUCAUUGGCUCAACCUUUGAGAUGCUCAAAAUACUGCCGAACUUGAGGGCGUUAGGGGUUAGCGGAACCGACGGAGUAGGGGUGAAAUCCGUUGAUAUCGUCGGGAACACCAAAAGCGAAGGCAGCUAACUAGGAUGACCCUGACACUGAGGGACGAAAGCGUGGGGA